GUAGAAGAGAACGGCAGCUCAAUAUUGUCUUUAUCUAACAACUAUUUUCAAUCAUUUUCUUUGAUGAUGUUUGUCCAUUUUUAUCCUGACACAUUUAGUAUGAAAUGUGCUAAUGUUAUUAUUCAUUUGUGAUCUAAAAACACAGCCUGUGGAUGGAUAGCUAUUCAGCAGAAUGCAGAUCAUGGCCUAAAGUCCAAAAAAUUCCAGUUUUCUUUGUGUGCAGGCAUUUGGCAUCAUUAUCUUACAUUUAUGGAUCAUUAUCUCCACUAAGACAGCUGAGAUCACACGCCUACCCCCAGACGUUCACCUUUGUCUGUGCUGGCAGCCUCAGCUGCACCUUUGUGCUUUUUUAUUGGUGAUCACCAGAGUUCUUAUAAUUUAGUUUUUAUUUUAUUUCACUGUGACUUUUUGUUUUUAAUUCUGUUUAGUUUCAGUUAGUUUCUAAAGUACUGCUGCUCGUUUCACUUUAACUUUUAUUGCUUGAAAACGUUUUCAGUAGUUUCACUUUAGUUUUUGUUAGUUUCAGCGUCAGUUUUAGUCUUUUAUUGUGUGGAGGACACAUGACAGAGGCAAGAUUAUGGAAAAUUAGAACAAGCAUUCCAAGAAACACAACUUUUUUAAAGCUAUUGAUUCUCACUCUUUUAAACAUCCAUGUCUCAAUUAACAUGUCCAUCAAAACCUCCACAGCUAAGUUAUAAUAGCAAAUUUUAACAGAUAACAAUGUCUAAAGCUAAGGAUAUUAACUUAUUAUCUAUAUUUUUAUUUUACUUUAAUUCAUUUUUCACAUUAGCCACAAUUGUUUCGGUUGUUUUUAACCUUUCUUCAAGUCUACUUUUUAUUUUUAUUUUUAGUUAACUAUAAUAACCUUGAGGAUCACUGACACAUGAAAUGCAAAUCUAAUUGAUUCAGUUGAACAAGUAUUAUUAUAUAAAUCAGAGUUUUUAUAUGAUGGUAUAUAUCAUGAAUUAUCAGCCUAUUACAUAUAGUACAUACGUUGUUUAUGGGUCUCUGUUUUACUGAGAUUAAUUGGAUUAUUUUUACUACCUGGAAAUAAAUGACACUUAUAUCCUGCUUUUCUGCUCUUUUCUAGCGCUCAAAGCACUUUUAUACAACUAGCCUCAUUCACCCAUUCAAACACACACAUUCAGGCUGUGGCUGCCCAGACAGAAAAUGUUAACUUACUAUUUUAACCUGAAAUUGUGACUGUAAAUAUUAACCAAUCACAAUGAAAAAAUAUUACGCACAUCAGUGCUUUAUUACAUUAUUACAAUACACUGAAGAAAAUGAAUGUGUUAUAUUUUAAAUGCAUAAUUCUUCAACAGUUUUGUUGAACUGACAGUUGCCUUUGGCCUGAAAAUAAUCAGAAGAAAAGACUUCUGACCCACUGAGCUGAUACGAGCAUCUGUGUAAUAUCUGAUAUUGCUAGUGCAAAGAGCAAAGUCCAUGUUGUGCCAGCAAUCACAGAAUAUUAAAUGGUGACACAAAGUGCUGCACAAUUGCACUGACUACAGUACACUUUUUCAGUAUUUGACACUAAACUGGAUUUAUCCAAAUGAAAUACAAAUGAGCCGCCUACGUGCAAGCACUAAUAUGCAAAGCUAUCACUGGACAACCACAAAUACUGCAGUGUCAUGCUGUGUAGUCACAAGAAACCUCUUCAUGACAUCGUGAUUAAAGCUGAGUCGCACAGUUUGACCACUCAGGCUGAGCUUUUUACACAGAAAAGAGUUUCCAGAGCUCGCUCACUGGAGCUGAAAGAUCAUGUAUGAAGAUAAUGUAUGAGAAAGUGCACACACAUCACCCCAGAACAGAAAAAAACAUGAUCCCAGCAUCUGAUGAGUAAAUACCUACGUACAAGGACACACACAAUGAAUCUUUUGCUGUUCCUAAAACUUCUGCUCUCAUUAUUGCAGUAUAGAGUUCACAGAGUGGCCUUCGACCUACUUAUCACAAGCUGAAAGAGAACGCUUGGCAGUGGCUGGAUAGAAAGGGGAACUUGAGCGGUUGUGAUCACGGGACAAAAGAAAAGAACUGGCCUGAAAAACAGACGAAUAGAAAAGAACUGAAUACAUGCCUUGAUUUCCAAAUCUUAGGCGGAAAUGUUGUGGUCUUUGCUGUCUGUUGCUAACAUAUCCAAAGACAUUUACAUAGGCUCUGAUUUUACUCUGCAUUGCAAAAUGCUACAAUAUCAGAGCUAAUAAGGCUGUGUGCUUAAAGGAGCAGGCACCACAAACUUAUGGUACAGUACCGGCAGCAAUGGCUCCAAUGAGCGGCCGGAUGGUCACAGCCCAGGGGUAGUUCCAGGCCCCGAUGACCAGCACCACCCCCAGCGGCUCUGGAUGGAUGUAGACGGUGUCAGACAUGGUCAGCAGGUUCUUCUUCACAUGCCGAGGGGCUGCCCACUCCUUCAGAUUCUUAAUGAAGAGGCUGAUCUCACCCUCCAGACCCAGAGUCUCAUAAAACUGCGCCCCAACCUCGGUCUGAGGAAGAAGAAGAUGAACAUAGGAUCUCCUUAUGGUGGAUACUCUUCAGUUUCUGUAGACUUCCAUAAAAGGAAACUAUUUUGAA